rnacentral:rRNA from 1 species
UAGGGAAUCUUCCACAAUGGACGCAAGUCUGAUGGAGCAACGCCGCGUGAGUGAAGAAGGUCUUCGGAUCGUAAAGCUCUGUUGUUGGUGAAGAAGGAUAGAGGCAGUAACUGGUCUUUAUUUGAUGGUAAUCAACCAGAAAGUCACGGCUAACUACGUGCCAGCAGCCGCGGUAAUACGUAGGUGGCAAGCGUUGUCCGGAUUUAUUGGGCGUAAAGCGAGCGCAGGCGGAAUGAUAAGUCUGAUGUGAAAGCCCACGGCUCAACCGUGGAACUGCAUCGGAAACUGUCAUUCUUGAGUGCAGAAGAGGAGAGUGGAACUCCAUGUGUAGCGGUGGAAUGCGUAGAUAUAUGGAAGAACACCAGUGGCGAAGGCGGCUCUCUGGUCUGCAACUGACGCUGAGGCUCGAAAGCAUGGGUAGCGAACAGGAUUAGAUACCCUGGUAGUCCAUGCCGUAAACGAUGAGCGCUAGGUGUUGGGGACUUUCCGGUCCUCAGUGCCGUAGCAAACGCGUUAAGCGCUCCGCCUGGGGAGUACGACCGCAAGGUUGAA